GAAAAAUGAAGAUACUCUGAUUGCUUCCUAUUAUCCAGUGAAGACCUCAGAUCCAACUCUGAUUUCACUCUUACU
rfam:Calypte anna contig53476, whole genome shotgun sequence.